rnacentral:rRNA from 1 species
CCUACGGGUGGCAGCAGUGGGGAAUAUUGGGCAAUGGAGGCAACUCUUACCCAGCAAUGCCGCGUGAAUGAAGAAGGUCUUCGGAUUGUAAAGUUCUUUAAUUGGGGACGAAGAAAGUGACGGUACCUGAGGAAUAAGCCACGGCUAACUACGUGCCAGCAGCCGCGGUAAUACGUAGGUGGCAAGCGUUAUCCGGAUUUAUUGGGUGUAAAGGGCGUGUAGGCGGGAGCGCAAGUCAGAUGUGAAAACUCAGGGCUCAACCCUGAGCCUGCAUUUGAAACUGUGUUUCUUGAGUGCUGGAGAGGCAAUCGGAAUUCGGUGUGUAGCGGUGAAAUGCGUAGAUAUACGGAGGAACACCAGUGGCGAAGGCGGAUUGCUGGACAGUAACUGACGCUGAGGCGCGAAAGCGUGGGGAGCAAACAGGAUUAGAUACCCUGGUAGUC